rnacentral:rRNA from 1 species
AUUGCCUCGGGCGCAGCAGUGGGGAAUAUUGGGCAAUGGGCGCAAGCCUGACCCAGCAACGCCGCGUGAAGGAAGAAGGCUUUCGGGUUGUAAACUUCUUUUAAGGGGGAAGAGCAGAAGACGGUACCCCUUGAAUAAGCCACGGCUAACUACGUGCCGGCAGCCGCGGUAAUACGUAGGUGGCAAGCGUUGUCCGGAUUUACUGGGUGUAAAGGGCGUGCAGCCGGAGAGACAAGUCAGAUGUGAAAUCCACGGGCUCAACCCGUGAACUGCAUUUGAAACUGUUUCCCUUGAGUGUCGGAGAG